rnacentral:RNase_P_RNA from 1 species
GAAGCCCACCAGACCACCGCUGGUGCAAUCUGGGAAACCAGGCACUGGAGGAACGUCCGGACUGCAUAGGGCAGCGUAGCAGUUAACGACUGUCCACCGACAAGCGUUUGGCGUAAGCCAAGCGCCCUAAGGUGAGGAUUAGAGCAACAGAGACGAGUUUUGGACUCGGACGCAACGCAAGUUGCGGCACGAGCCCAAAGGUGAAACGGGCAAUCUCUACGCGCAGCAAUACCAAGUAGGCCAACGUUGACGGGGCCCCCGGAGUUGGCGGGUAGGUAGCAUCGAGCCGUUUGGGUGACCAGCGGCCCAGAGUAAUGGUGGUCACGUGGGGGGAAACCCCCAUGCACAGAAUCCGGCUUAUCGGUGGGCUUCACAC